rnacentral:rRNA from 1 species
GCCUAACACAUGCAAGUCGAACGGAGUAGCAAUACUCAGUGGCAGACGGGUGAGUAACAUGUAGGUAUCUGCCCUUUGGCCUGGAAUAACACGAGGAAACUUGUGCUAAUACCGGAUAAGUCUUUACAGAGAAAGCUUUAUGCACCAUUGGAUGAGCCUGCACUUGAUUAGUUUGUUGGUGGGGUAAUGGCCUACCAAGACUUUGAUCAAUAGCUGAUUUGAGAGGAUGAUCAGCCACAUUGGGACUGAGACACGGCCCAAACUCCUACGGGAGGCAGCAGUGGGGAAUCUUGCACAAUGGAGGAAACUCUGAUGCAGCGAUGCCGCGUGAGUGAAGAAGGCCCUUGGGUUGUAAAGCUCUUUCGUCGGGGAAGAAAAUGACUGUACCCGAAUAAGAAGGUCCGGCUAACUUCGUGCCAGCAGCCGCGGUAAUACGAAGGGACCUAGCGUAGUUCGGAAUUACUGGGCUUAAAGAGUUCGUAGGUGGUUGAAAAAGUUGGUGGUGAAAUCCCAGAGCUUAACUCUGGAACUGCCAUCAAAACUUUUCAGCUAGAGUUUGAUAGAGGAAAGCAGAAUUUCUAGUGUAGAGGUGAAAUUCGUAGAUAUUAGAAAGAAUACCAAUUGCGAAGGCAGCUUUCUGGAUCAUUACUGACACUGAGGAACGAAAGCAUGGGUAGCGAAGAGGAUUAGAUACCCUCGUAGUCCAUGCCGUAAACGAUGUGUGUUAGACGUUGGAAAUUUAUUUUCAGUGUCGCAGCGAAAGCAAUAAACACACCGCCUGGGGAGUACGACCG